UCUAUUUUACACGCGUAUAAAAUAAAAUAGUCACGCGUGUAACACACUGUUUGAACAUAGUUUUCGGCGUGUUAGACUUUUCUAAAUUUCUUAAAAUUUUGCAGGAUGUCUUAAAUAACUAUAACGUACAUGACCAUGAGAAAAAAUUUUACUAAAAAAUUAUUUUGGAUGCUAAAACACAUAGCGGUGCAUCAAUAUAUUUAUUUCAUUGUAGAAUUUUCCAAUCAUAUAUAAUUUUCACAAAACUUGAUUGUGAAAAAAUUUCUAUGUGAAAAAGAAACUUCUCAGGUGACAAGAAUAAAAGUAAGACCAGGCAUUUUGUGCAAAACCGACAUUUUAUUCAUUUUUUUUUUUUUACCAAUAUUAUUACGUAUGGAAUGCGAAAAUACUCGAAAGUCCCAGAAAAUCAAAGCCGGAACAAGUCGAUUUGAAGCCGAACAGGAUAAUGAAGAAGAGGUUUGUUGAACUUAGAAGCAGAGACAAGUACAUUGUAACACAUCUUGGUUAGGCAUGUAGUUUGCUCCGACAAAGUUCGAAAAUUUAAGUAACUAUUGGUUACCUAUAUGGCGAAUAUUGUAAGAUUAUGAAAGGAACUCACAAGAAACGUCAAAAGAAUAGGGUGGAAUCACCCGUGACAACUUCUACAAAUUACUGAACACUAUAAUGAAUCAUGAAAAUAGAUGUAAUGAAAAUCUUUUAGGGGUUGUUUGGUACGCCCGUAUUGUAUUAAAUAAUAAAUAACAAUAUGUUUGGAUAAAGCAAUGUAUUAUAUUAAUUAUUACGACUAAAAUUUUUAAUACAAUAUAUGUUGUAUUAUUUAAUACAUAACAAAUGGUUUGUAUU